ACACAAUGUUUCAAAUAAAUUAAUUGUAUACUGCAAGAACACAUCUAGAGAUACUGAUCUGCCAUCCUACGCUGUGUAGAUAAGCAGAUUUUUGCUAUGACUGCUAGCAUCCAGCUGGCAGAAAGAGAGGGCUGUAGCAGGAGCGGAGUUGAGGAUUUCCAGGUGAUCCUGGUGGGCUUCCCACGUGGCGCUAGUGGUAAAGAACGCACCUGCCUAAUGCAGGAGACAUAAGAGACCUGAAUCCUGAAUCUCGAAGAUCUCCUGGAGCAAGCAGGGAAUGGUAACCCACUCCAGUAUUGUUGCCUGGAGAAUCCUAUGGACAGAGGAACCUGGCGGGUGGCAGCCCAUGGGAUCACACAGAGUAGAAUAUGACUGAAGCUGCUUAGCAGGCAACGCACUGGUGGAACAAGGCGACCUGUGUGACUGGAACAUGGUCUUGUUUUGGCUCCCUAAUACCUCCUAGGAGGGCAGUUACUUCAAGGCACGGGAGUGCCUCAUCGGGCUUGUGUGGAAAGUGAGGAGCCAGAACCCAUAGACAGCCUACAGAAGUGAGGCCCCACAGAGGCGAGGAGUCCCGAUGGUCGAGGCCGUGAAGCUUGGCGGGGCUCUGCCUUUUUCAGGACUGUGCCUACAACGACGACCGGGAGGCCCAGGCCCACAUCUCCAGCCACAAGGAGUCUUAACACUGCGUCCUGCUGAAUAAACUUAAAAAUGUUCCGAGACCAGGCCUGGGCUGCGUGGGCUCGUGGGGCACCGCCUGACGCCACCCCGAGACUACCUCACAGAAGAUUGCAGAAAAGAUCUAUCUUAUUGGUCUAAAUUGAAGAAAAUGGAGGGAAAUAGAUGUUCUUGAUUGACCUAACCAGACUGUAUUUAAUGAGAAAAGGCCAUUUCCCUGGAAGAAAAACUCAGGUGUUGCUAAUGGGAGAACAACAACAACAACAAAAUGUUGGCAAAAUAACAAAAUCCAAAAGGCUAGAAAAACGGACAAAUUGCUCACUCAGUCUUUAUGUGUACAAAGAUAUCACCCCAUAUUGCUACAGUGAGUUUUGUAUGGUAUAUAACAAAGACAACAUAAUUCAACUUUGUAAUUAUGUUUAAAACUGGGGCCUCUCUUCAACCUCUCUUCCUCUGCUAGGGCAAUACCCUCCCUUGAUCUUUACCAGUCUGUUGUAGCUUCCUGAUUGCAUGGUAUCUGGUUUUACUUAUCAUCCUGCUAACUUCUCCUCCAUAACUGUUAAAGAGUCAUCUUUCUAGAAUGUAAUUUUGUCUCUUGGAAACUGUCAGUAGCUUCAGUAUUGUCUAUAAGAUACUUAAUACUUGUUUUAGUCACUAUGCUGGCUAGAGUUGGAUGCCUGUACUACUUAGUUAUUAUAGCACUUUGUACAUACCUUAUUUUGAGUUCUUCAUUCACUGAAUAAUUAUUGUAAAAGAAGGGGAAGCAUCUAUGUGAAACAAUAAAAUAAAUUCUCAGAUAAAUAAAGUGAAAGUGGAGUCA